rnacentral:rRNA from 2 species
AGACCCGAAACCCGGUGAUCUAGCCAUGGGCAGGUUGAAGGUUGGGUAACACUAACUGGAGGACCGAACCGACUAAUGUUGAAAAAUUAGCGGAUGACCUGUGGCUGGGGGUGAAAGGCCAAUCAAACCGGGAGAUAGCUGGUUCUCCCCGAAAGCUAUUUAGGUAGCGCCUCGUGAAUUCAUCUCCGGGGGUAGAGCACUGUUUCGGCUAGGGGGCCAUCCCGGCUUACCAACCCGAUGCAAACUGCGAAUACCGGAGAAUGUUAUCACGGGAGACACACGGCGGGUGCUAACGUCCGUCGUGAAGAGGGAAACAACCCAGACCGCCAGCUAAGGUCCCAAAGUCAUGGUUAAGUGGGAAACGAUGUGGGAAGGCCCAGACAGCCAGGAUGUUGGCUUAGAAGCAGCCAUCAUUUAAAGAAAGCGUAAUAGCUCACUGGUCGAGUCGGCCUGCGCGGAAGAUGUAACGGGGCUAAACCAUGCACCGAAGCUGCGGCAGCGAACGUAUCACUUAAAGCGAUUCAGCGGGUUACGAUUGACGGAGCGAAGCGACGUCAAAGCGUAUACAAAGUCGAGUCGGUUUAAGGAUACGUUCGUUGGGUAGGGGAGCGUUCUGUAAGCCUGUGAAGGUGUGUCGUGAGGCAUGCUGGAGGUAUCAGAAGUGCGAAUGCUGACAUAAGUAACGAUAAAGCGGGUGAAAAGCCCGCUCGCCGGAAGACCAAGGGUUCCUGUCCAACGUUAAUCGGGGCAGGGUGAGUCGACCCCUAAGGCGAGGCCGAAAGGCGUAGUCGAUGGGAAACGGGUUAAUAUUCCCGUACUUGGUGUUACUGCGAAGGGGGGACGGAGAAGGCUAUGUUGGCCGGGCGACGGUUGUCCCGGUUUAAGCGUGUAGGUGUGUGUUCCAGGUAAAUCCGGUUCACUUUAACACUGAGGCGUGAUGACGAGGCACUACGGUGCUGAAGCAACAAAUGCCCUGCUUCCAGGAAAAGCCUCUAAGCAUCAGGUAACAUCAAAUCGUACCCCAAACCGACACAGGUGGUCAGGUAGAGAAUACCAAGGCGCUUGAGAGAACUCGGGUGAAGGAACUAGGCAAAAUGGUGCCGUAACUUCGGGAGAAGGCACGCUGACACGUAGGUGAAGUGAUUUACUCACGGAGCUGAAGUCAGUCGAAGAUACCAGCUGGCUGCAACUGUUUAUUAAAAACACAGCACUGUGCAAACACGAAAGUGGACGUAUACGGUGUGACGCCUGCCCGGUGCCGGAAGGUUAAUUGAUGGGGUCAGCGCAAGCGAAGCUCCUGAUCGAAGCCCCGGUAAACGGCGGCCGUAACUAUAACGGUCCUAAGGUAGCGAAAUUCCUUGUCGGGUAAGUUCCGACCUGCACGAAUGGCGUAAUGAUGGCCAGGCUGUCUCCACCCGAGACUCAGUGAAAUUGAACUCGCUGUGAAGAUGCAGUGUACCCGCGGCAAGACGGAAAGACCCCGUGAACCUUUACUAUAGCUUGACACUGAACAUUGAGCCUUGAUGUGUAG